rnacentral:tRNA from 1 species
ACCUGGGUGGCUCAGUCGGUUAAGCAUCUGACUUCGGUUCAGGUCAUGAUCUCGCAGCUUGUGAGUUCGAGUCCCACUUCGGGUG